CUGCGUCAGCUUGUGUAGCUGGUUAGUACUGGCUUAGAGGAAAAAGAAAACGAGUCACUUCCUGAGCACACUGGAGUCUGGAAGCUUAGAGGAAAAGGAGGAGGAGCAACUUCAUUAGCACAGUGGAGGCUGGAGCCUGCCGUGGCUCACCUCGCUGCUGCCGUUGGUGCGGGCCAGGGAGACUAGAGCGCAGCCAGAAUGGCUUUCUUGGCUUUGCCUGCCCAGUUGUUUCAUGCCAGGAGGAGGAGCCGCCUGCUGGAGGCUGGAGCUUGUGGCACCACCGCUCGCCUCGCUGUGGUUGGUGGCGGCCAUGGAGACUAAAGACUCAGCGCUGGAGUGGUAGGAGGGCGGCAAUGAAAACUGAAGAGCACCAGAGCGAAAACCCUUUUGCUGUGCCUCAGGAUGGGGGAGAUGAGAUCUGAAAUACCCAGUGCAGCCUCCGAGAAGGACAACUUCUACAGAGAUGCCAGGGACAGCCGAGGUGGUAGAGAAGGGAAUGCUGCCUGUGCCCAAAGCCCCCUUCUGCGGACUUCUAAGAUUACGAGCAAACUCAGGGGUAGGGGCUGGGGGUGCAGGGGAGGGGAUUCUGAGCCACCUGUCCACAAGCGAUAGUCCUGUUUUGGGCUGGUGGCUUCUGAGAGGUGACUCAUUGUGGCCUCAGGAUGACCAAGACAAAGCAACUCUGGCUGAUUCCAGCCAGGAGGAUUGAGGCCUGUGAGUUAUACCUGUGGUUGAAAACCGAAGCUUCCCUUGCCCCUGCUCCCUCCAAUAGCGGCCCCUUGGGGCUAUUUGUGUCAGAAUAUUGAAUGUGCGUGUGUGUGUGUGUGUGUGUGCGCGCGCGCGUGUGAUUUGGGGUGUUCUUGUUUGGUUGGUUGGUUUUUAUUGGGGCUUCCCCCCUCAAGUUCUCUGAUGGGCGCGGGUUACCUUCUGGCUGGGGGUUCUCAUCCGUGUCAAUGUUCAGGCUGCAAGCUUCUUGCUAAGCACAGGGUACAGCCCCUCUGUGUCUCAGGGAGCACUGGGGAUUUGAAAAUGCCAGUCAGGGUUGGUUCUUACAGAAUUCAUUCCUGUAACAAAAAUACUCAGGGACGCAUCUCAGGCUGACCACAGGGCAGGUACCAAGUUAAGUGUUUUCAUGCACUCUCCCUCUCACCACGUGGGAGGCAGGUAUGAUUAACCCCCUGCAGAAAAAGCUGCAGAAAAAGCUCACAGUGGGGAAGGGGGGUGCCCAGGCGCCACAUGGCCAGGAGGAGACCAACCCCUCGUUUGACCUCAGGGGUGCAGGAACCCAAAGUCCAGGCUCCAACUCCCUGGACAUGACGUGAUCCCCAGCCAGGGCACACCCUGCACAAUGCCAGGAGCAUCUCCUUGAUGCCUCCACAGGCUGUCGCCCUGAGUUCUCCACCAUCACCGCCGAGAGCGCUGAUCCACUCAGCACAUUCUGGCUAAGCACCUGCUGUGCGCCAGGCCCCAUGCUGGGCAGUGAUGGG
rnacentral:lncRNA from 1 species